rnacentral:rRNA from 1 species
AUGAAGGAUGCUGCUGUGAGCCACGCCACCCCUUCAGGAAGUGUUGAAGUGGAUGCCCCCGAGACCAACCUAAGCAAGGAAGAUUCCCGCUCAUCUGACACUGAUUCCAAGCGCGUGCGUGCUGGCACUCAUGUGCCCACUACAGAAAUUGCCGAGGCGGUAGUUCAUAAUGAUAUGCCAUCUGCAGGUGAGAGUCUUGGCACAACAGCUCCAGCUCCUAGUGGUGCAGAUAUUGCUCAGGCCACUGUUCCGCGUGCUGGUCUUCCACCUAGGCGUCGUAGCCCCUGCAAGCAAUCAACAGUCUUAUCCAACGCACUAGCUGCAGCUAGGAGCAGCAGAGAUGAGUCUGGUUACGUCCCUGCGUCCACACUAUUCCCGCCAACCGCCAAAAGCAAUGUUAUGGAGAAACCAGAAGACCAGAGUACAACUGAUGCAGGUGCCAAGCCGGGCACGAGUGAUGAAGGUGAACGUCCGGAGCAUACUGCGCCUUUACCCGCAGUGGAAAUCCCCAGCUUAAAUCUGCGCACUUCCAAACUCCCAAUCAACAUCGGUGUCCCCUACAGCCCCAACAAGAGGAUUGUCAACAAAUCUACGCCCGUCACCACUGACAGCACGCCCCGCCCUAUUGGCAAGCCUGAUGAUUCUGCAGCGGCUGAUCCAGAAGAUAUGUUUGUUGAUCUUUCACUAUUGGAUUCUGCCCCGCAAGUUGUUCGCGGUCCGGCCAGUAGGCAUGAGAGGCACCCAAUGGCCUUCACCCCACCGAGCUUCAGCAUUGGCGUCAGUCAAGAUCAACAAGUGGCUCAAGAUCCUAUGACAGUUGCCUUUGCUUUUCCUGGAGGCGUGCCCGCAAUGAUGGCACAACCAAUGGUUGAGGGCAGGAAGGCUGUCAAGUUCGCAGAGCCGAUCGUCCAAGGUAUCCUAAUCCACUUUUUUGAUCCUUGCAGCCACCCCUGA